rnacentral:rRNA from 1 species
UCCGUAGGGUGCGAGCGUUAAUCGGAAUUACUGGGCGUAAAGCGUGCGCAGGCGGUCUGUUAAGACCGAUGUGAAAUCCCCGGGCUUAACCUGGGAACUGCAUUGGUGACUGGCAGGCUUUGAGUGUGGCAGAGGGAGGUAGAAUUCCACGUGUAGCAGUGAAAUGCGUAGAGAUGUGGAGGAAUACCGAUGGCGAAGGCAGCCUCCUGGGCCAACACUGACGCUCAUGCACGAAAGCGUGGGGAGCAAACAGG